UGUUAAACCCCAGGCUCGUGGCAGUAACUCUUUCGUCGAUAAAGGGGGCCAUUCAUCUCUUUCUGACUGUCUUACCUGUCGCUCCAAUUCCUUGGGAUCUUAACUGUCUUCGACAGACUAGGCAUCAACGCCUGUCCUUAAGGGUAGAAGAAAAAUCGGAGAAGAAGUGGUGUAAAUUCCAGUAGAAAGAUUGAAUUUCUCGCCAU